GGUUCACAUUCAUUCAUUCAUUUUUUAAUCAUUUAUCCAUCCCCACAGGCACUCCAAACGCACUGCCAAGGUUCGGUCUGUUCCCCAACCCGGUGAACACGGGCAGCCCAACCUGCUUUCACGGCGCCCGCAGACCCCCAGGCGCCUCUCAGAGCUCCGGUGGGAGAAAGGCACCUCGGGAUCCCUGGGGAUUCUCAUCCCCGUAACUCAAGGAGCCUGCUGAAGCACAGCCACGGCCACAGGAGCCGCUCGGGUGAUUCCGGACCGUGUUUUCACGGCGGAAGCCAAAAACGCCCGUUCCCCUUCGGCAGCCGCCGCGGGACCGGCGCAGGUAUUUUGCUUAUAMUCCGGAGAAGAAAAAAGCGUAUUUCCAACAGUUCAGUAAUCAYGCUUUACAUCCUCACUGUCUUCUGGAGUGGCUGCUCCUUCCCCACCACUGUGCCCGUGCUGGAGCAGKCUGUGUUCCCAAUGCUCCCAGCCCAUGCCCAUGUUGCCUAUGCUGUCUGUGCAGCUGGAGGAAAACAGAUCGGGCACCAGAAACAACGUGGCCUUCUGCCAGCCCCUUCCAAUUCUGUUAGUUAUUAUUAAUAUUUUGCUUUCACUGUCUCACAGAUGAGAAUGAGCAUGUUUUUUUUUCCUGGCUUACUCGGAUCACUGCCUACCUUUACAUUCCCAUAUAAGAAGUUAAAAUCUGGACUUGC